CCAGACUCCUACGGGAGGCAGCAGUGGGGAAUAUUGGGCAAUGGAGGCAACUCUUACCCAGCAAUGCCGCGUGAAUGAAGAAGGUCUUCGGAUUGUAAAGUUCUUUAAUUGGGGACGAAAAAAAUGACGGUACCCAAGGAAUAAGCCCCGGCUAACUACGUGCCAGCAGCCGCGGUAAUACGUAGGAUGCGAGCGUUAUCCGGAUUUAUUGGGUUUAAAGGGUGCGUAGGCGGCAUUAUAAGUUAGUGGUAAAAUAUUGGGGCUUCACCUCACUACGCCAUUAAUACUGUAGAGCUAGAGAACAGACGAGGUAGGCGGAAUAAGUUAAGUAGCGGUGAAAUGCAUAGAUAUAACUUAGAACACCGAUAGCGAAGGCAGCUUACCAGACUGAGUCUGACGCUGAUGCACGAGAGCAUGGGCAGCGAACAGGAUUAGAUACCCUAGUAC
rnacentral:rRNA from 1 species